ACUGGUCUGCUGGAUGUGUGGGAAACAAACACGCUUCCCAUCCCUCCAGAGAAACUGCAAGAGUUUCAGUGCUUUCACCCAGUGUGCCAUGUGUGCAAAGCUGGUGUUGGAGAGCGUACAAGAGUGAAGAGAAAGCUGAAGAGGAAGAGAUCUAGAGAGGUAAGAAGAUGGACCACUAACUUUCAGGGAGAGAAAACUGCGAAGGAGGAAGCUGCAAAGAAGGAAGCUGCGAAGGAGGAAGCUGCAAAGGAGGAAGCUGUGAAGGAGGAUGAGACCAGAAUAAGAUGAUCUACAUCUACCUCCUGCAAAUAAAACUUGUUUAUUUGAUGCAGUCACUGUGUCCUGUGGUUCAAUCCGCAUUACCGGCUUUGUAUUCCUGUGGUUAAGCAGCAU